rnacentral:rRNA from 1 species
UGCGCAGGCGGCUUUGCAAGACAGAGGUGAAAUCCCCGGGCUCAACCUGGGAACUGCCUUUGUGACUGCAAGGCUAGAGUACGGCAGAGGGGGAUGGAAUUCCGCGUGUAGCAGUGAAAUGCGUAGAUAUGCGGAGGAACACCAAUGGCGAAGGCAAUCCCCUGGGCCUGUACUGACGCUCAUGCACGAAAGCGUGGGGAGCAAACA